GACGAACGCUGGCGGCGUGCCUAAUACAUGCAAGUCGAACGCACGAAGUUGAAGAGCUUGCUCUUUAACCAAGUGAGUGGCGGACGGGUGAGUAACACGUGGGUAACCUGCCCAUUAGAGGGGGAUAACAUUCGGAAACGGAUGCUAAUACCGCAUAGUUUCAGGGAUCGCAUGAUUCUUGAAGGAAAGGUGGCUCCGGCUACCACUAAUGGAUGGACCCGCGGCGUAUUAGCUAGUUGGUGAGGUAAUGGCUCACCAAGGCAAUGAUACGUAGCCGACCUGAGAGGGUGAUCGGCCACACUGGGACUGAGACACGGCCCAGACUCCUACGGGAGGCAGCAGUAGGGAAUCUUCCGCAAUGGAUGAAAGUCUGACGGAGCAACGCCGCGUGAGUGAAGAAGGUUUUCGGAUCGUAAAACUCUGUUGUUAAAGAAGAACAAGGAUGAGAGUAACUGCUCAUCCCCUGACGGUAUUUAACCAGAAAGCCACGGCUAACUACGUGCCAGCAGCCGCGGUAAUACGUAGGUGGCAAGCGUUGUCCGGAUUUAUUGGGCGUAAAGCGAGCGCAGGCGGUUCUUUAAGUCUGAUGUGAAAGCCCCCGGCUCAACCGGGGAGGGUCAUUGGAAACUGGAGAACUUGAGUGCAGAAGAGGAGAGUGGAAUUCCACGUGUAGCGGUGAAAUGCGUAGAUAUGUGGAGGAACACCAGUGGCGAAGGCGACUCUCUGGUCUGUAACUGACGCUGAGGCUCGAAAGCGUGGGGAGCAAACAGG
rnacentral:rRNA from 1 species